rnacentral:rRNA from 1 species
AUUGAACGCUGGCGGAAUGCUUUACACAUGCAAGUCGAACGGCAGCACGGACUUCGGUCUGGUGGCGAGUGGCGAACGGGUGAGUAAUACGUCGGAACGUGCCCAAUCGUGGGGGAUAACGUAGCGAAAGCUACGCUAAUACCGCAUACGAUCUAAGGAUGAAAGCGGGGGAUCGCAAGACCUCGCGCGAUUGGAGCGGCCGAUGGCAGAUUAGGUAGUUGGUAGGGUAAAGGCCCACCAAGCCGACGAUCUGUAGCUGGUCUGAGAGGAUGAUAAGGCACACUAGGAGUGAGAAACGGCCCAGAAUCCUACGGGAGGCAGCAGUGGGGAAUUUUGGACAAUGGACGCAAGUCUGAUCCAGCCAUUCCGCGUGCAGGAUGAAGGCCCUCGGGUUGUAAACUGCUUUUGUACAGAACGAAAAGGCUCUGGUUAAUACCUAGGGCUCAUGACGGUACUGUAAGAAUAAGCACCGGCUAACUACGUGCCAGCCGCCGCUGUAA